GCUAGCCCGGGCCGGGAGGAGCCGCAGUCGGAGGAGGGGGAGGAGGAAGAAGAGAAGGAAGAGGAGAGGGGGCCGCGGUGGCGACUCGGAGCUCGGAAGCCGGGCUCAUGGACGGGUGAGGCGGCUGUGUGCGCAGACAGUGCCCCAGCCGCGCGCGCGACCCAGGCCCUGGCCCGGGCCUCGGCUCCGGGAGGAAGAGGAGCCCGCCUAGGCGCCGAGGAGAGCGGGCCGCCCCGCAGCCCGAGCCGGAGAGGGAGCGCUAGCCGCGCCGGCCCCGGCCGGGCCUCCGAAACCAUGAACUUUCUGCUC
rfam:Felis catus isolate Cinnamon breed Abyssinian chromosome B2, whole genome shotgun sequence.